CAAUAGCGUAUAUUAAAGUUGUUGCAGUUAAAAAGCUCGUAGUUGAAUUUCGGGUCCCCGCGCUCGGCGCUUCAUUGUGCCGUCGUGGUGUCCCUCCUCGCCGUAAGGCGUCCUUUACUGUGAAAAAAUUAGAGUGUUCAAAGCAGGCAAUCGCUUGAAUACAUUAGCAUGGAAUAAUAAGAUAGGAUCUUGUCUAUUUUGUUGGUUGCGGACAACGAUAAUGAUUAAUAGGGAUAGUUGGGGGUGUCCGUAUUGAGCUGUCAGAGGUGAAAUUCUUGGAUUUGCUCAAGACGAACUACUGCGAAAGCAUUCACCAAGGAUGUUUUCAUUGA
rnacentral:rRNA from 1 species